rnacentral:rRNA from 1 species
CUACGGGGGGCUGCAGUGGGGAAUAUUGGACAAUGGGGGAAACCCUGAUCCAGCAAUGCCGCGUGUGUGAAGAAGGCCUGCGGGUUGUAAAGCACUUUCGGUUGGGAGGACUGCUUCUAGCACUAAUAUUGUUGGAAGUUGACGUUACCUUCAGAAGAAGCACCGGCUAGCUCCGUGCCAGCAGCCGCGGUAAUACGGAGGGUGCAAGCGUUAAUCGGAAUUACUGGGCGUAAAGCGCGCGUAGGCGGCUAGAUCAGUCGGGUGUGAAAGCCCCGGGCUUAACCUGGGAACUGCAUCCGAUACUGUCUAGCUUGAGUACAGGAGAGGAGAGUGGAAUUCCACAUGUAGCGGUGAAAUGCGUAGAUAUGUGGAGGAACACCAAUGGCGAAGGCAGCUCUCUGGCCUGAUACUGACGCUGAGGUGCGAAAGCGCGGGGAGCAAACAGGAUUAGAUACCCCGGUAGUC